rnacentral:ncRNA from 1 species
CAAUGGUGCGAAGCUACCAUCUGUUGGAUUAUGACUUAACGCCUCUAAGUCAGAAUCCGUGCUAGAACGCAACGAUAUUUACCUCCGGAGAAUCUUAGGCGAACAAGGAUAGAGAACGGGCUUGCCCGCUCUCCUGCGUCCCAAUGUGCCAAGAGGGACAACAACCCUCAAGGCACUAAACUAUAUCAAAGUUUAAAAUUUCUGGAGAUAAAUCCUUUGCAGACGACUUAAAUAAAGAACGGGGUAUUGUACGUUGUAGAGUAGCCUUGUUGCUACGAUCUUCUGAGAUUAAGCCUUUGUUCUACGAUUUGU